rnacentral:rRNA from 1 species
UACGUGGGGUGCAAGCGUUGUUCGGAAUUACUGGGCGUAAAGCGCGUGUAGGCGGUUCGCUAAGUUCGAUGUGAAAGCCCUGGGCUUAACCCAGGAACUGCAUUGAAACUGGCGGACUUGAGUCCGGGAGAGGGUCGCGGAAUUCCUGGUGUAGAGGUGAAAUUCGUAGAUAUCAGGAGGAACACCGGUGGCGAAGGCGGCGACCUGGACCGGUACUGACGCUGAGACGCGAAAGCGUGGGGAGCAAACAGG